AACGUAGGAGACAACCGUUAUCCGGAGUUACUGGGCGUAAAGGGCGUGCAGGCGGUCGACUAAGUCUGGCGUGAAAGCUCUCGGCUAAACCGGGAGAGGUCGUUGGAUACUGGUUGACUAGAGGACGGUAGAGGCGUGUGGAAUUCCGGGUGUAGUGGUGAAAUGCGUAGAGAUCCGGAGGAACACCAGUGGCGAAGGCGACACGCUGGGCCGUACCUGACGCUGAUACGCGACAGCAUGGGGAGCGAACGGG
rnacentral:rRNA from 1 species